GAUGAAGAACGUAGCGAAAUGCGAUAAGUAAUGUGAAUUGCAGAAUUCAGUGAAUCAUCGAAUCUUUGAACGCACAUUGCGCCCGCCAGUAUUCUGGCGGGCAUGCCUGUCUGAGCGUCAUUUCAACCCUCAUGCCCCUAGGGCGUGGUGUUGGGGAUCGGCCAUAGCCCGCGAGGGACGGCCGGCCCCUAAAUCUAGUGGCGGACCCGUCGUGGCCUCCUCUGCGAAGUAGUGAUAUUCCGCAUCGGAGAGCGACGAGCCCCUGCCGUUAAACCCCCAACUUUCCAAGGUUGACCUCAGAUCAGGUAGGAAUACCCGCUGAACUUAAGCAUAUCAAUAAGCGGAGGA
rnacentral:misc_RNA from 1 species